rnacentral:lncRNA from 10 species
UCGGACUCAGCCUGCCUGCACCCAACUGAUUAAAAAGCUUUAUUGCUCACACAAAGCCUGUUUGGAAGUUUCUUUACACGGACAUGUGUGACAUUUGGUGCCGUGACUCGGAUCGGGGGACCUCCCUUGGGAGAUCAAUCCCCUGUUCUCCUGCUCUUUGCUCCAUGAGAAAGAUCCACCUAUGACCUCGGGUCCUCAGACCAACCAGCCCAAAGAACAUCUCACCAAUUUUAAAUUGGAGACAGAGGAGACGCGUUUUAUCCAUGAACCAAAACUCUGGCAUUGGUCACAGACUUGGGAGGACAGUCUUCCCUUGGUGUUUAAUCACUGUGGGGACGCCUGCUUGAUUAUUCACCCACAUUUCAGAGAUGUCUGAUCACCAUGGGGACAGCCGCCUUGAUCCUUCACCCUUAGAGUUGAACAGGUUAGACCUCUGAGCCCAAGCCUGCAUGUGUACAUCCAGUUGGCCUGAAGAAAUUGGAGAAUCACAAAAGAAGUGAAAAUGGCCGGUUCCUGCCUUAACUGAUGACAUUACCUUGUGAAAUUCCUUCUCCUGGCUCAGAAGUUCCCUCUACUGAACACCUUGUGACCCCCACCCCUGCCUGCAAGAGAAAAACCCCUUUUGGCUGUAAUUUUCCACUACCCACCCAAAUCCUAUAAAACUGCCCCACCCUAUCUCCCUUUGCUGACUCUCUGUUUGGACUCAGCCCACCUGCUCCCAGGUAAUUAAAAAGCUUUAUUGCUCA